CUACCGGGCGACCGGAUGCGGAUCUCGAAAGCCUGUCCCAGUUCGGACUGGAGUCUGCAACCCGACUCCACGAAGUUGGAUUCGCUAGUAAUCGCGCAUCAGCCAUGGCGCGGUGAAUACGUUCCCGGGCCUUGUACACACCGCCCGUCAAGCCAUGGGAGCCGGGGGCGCCUGAAGUCCGGGACCGCGAGGACCGGCCUAGGGCGAAACUGGUAACUGGGGCUAAGUCGUAACAAGGUAUC
rnacentral:rRNA from 1 species